UAAUGCCAGUAGAGGAACAAUUUCUCCUUAUGUGAGUUUGACCUUUAUGUACCAUCACAUGUGAACACCAUAUUUAAAAACAAAUAACUGUUAAGAUAUAUGCUACCAAAACAUGCAUCAUGCUGGGUUUUCAUGUUGUGUGCAUUUUGUGACAACAUAAAAAAAAUGUGACAAGAAAUAUAUUAAAAAUCCCAAAAGUGGAAUUUAAGUUCUAAAGGAAAUUUAGAAUUUGAGAAAAGAGAAGAAAUACUAUACAAAUGAGAUAAAAUAGAUAUAUAAAAUAACUAGAUGUGGUUAUUUAAAUUUAACCUAAGUAUGAACUCCCCAAAUAUAAACUCAAAUUUUGAAUUUGAAUUUGAAAAGGAAAGAGAAAGAGGAAAGAAAAAUAGAAAUGAAAAAGGAAUUGAAAAAGGGAAAAUAAAAAUAAGGGAAAACCUCAUCUGGGCCAAAACCCAUUUGUCUCGGCCCACCAAACCCCGCAUGCGCCAGUCCACUACUGCCCUCAUCCACUGGUCGAUGGGGCCGCUCAGCAGACCAGCCAGCACUUCCUGUGUUUGCUUCACUGGCGCGUGGGCCCCUCCUAUCAAGUUUAUCCCCUUCCCCUGUCCGGUCCGGUGUUGAGCGAAUUCCUCCGUGGAUCUCUCCGGUCAUUCCGCCACCGCCUUGGUUGUUGGAUCGACCGAGUUUCUUGCCACCAAAUUCUGUGAAAUCCACUGCUCCAGUGAAUAACUACCGUGUCGGCUGCCUUCCCCAGUUCCCCUCCUCUCCAUUUCUCCCCUUCUGACCACCCAUGGCGCUCGGCACCCAGUGUCUCUGCUCACCCUUGGCGACCGAACAGGUGAACCACCCACUCCUUUCCGCCGUCCUCUAAGGGCCAUCCAGUUGCACCUACGCGUGAGCUCUCCCUUCAACACUCCAGUGCCCGAGCUCCCUCCCCUGUGGCCUCCGCUCGGUGCGCCCCUCUCUGCUCCUCUGCCGUGUCCCUGCUAGCGCCUGCCGUCAACCACCCGCCGUCCGAGCAGACACCGGGCGCCAGCAAACUACGUGGAGGCUAGCUAGAGGUGCCGGGGAUCCAGCCGCACGCAUCGCGUCCCUCGGCUGGCGUGAUUCACCACCGGAGGGCCGGUGAUUUCACGACAUUGGUGGUCGUCGCCGCGGGUCCGCGCUUCAACGUGAGCCCGUGCUCUCUCACGGCCAUCUGAUAAGAACCCGUUGCUGAGGAAUCCUGGUGAGCAGCAGGUUGAAGUAGCUGAGCAGGAGCUCAUUGAAGGCAAGUUGUGCCCUUGACCACUUUUUACCCAAUAAUGUUCUUUAAUAUCACUUAUCCAUGCAUAGGUUAAUUUUGAUGGGACCCAAUAGGUCACCCUAGAUUGUUUAUCUCAUUACCUUGUUUACCCCUGAAUCACUUGGGUAGUUUGCUAUUGCUUUAUAUGGUUUUGGGAUAAUCAUUUAUCACCUCUAUGUUCCAAUUCUUGUUGUUAUUCUGUUUAUGUUCAUGUUGUUAUCAUUAAUGUUAAUUGGAACAUAGAGCUUAACUUGAGAACCACGUGCCACCACAAGGGUUUAAUGGGACGCCCUUGGCUGAUUAACUAGGAAAGCUAGUGGAAGACUACCUUACCCGAAAGGGGCAAGGGCAGUAGGGGAGAGGUCAGUGCGGGGAGGUCCCUGGUUGAUUUUGCUGCGAUGGCGGUCAGCCAGGAACCCUGUACUGGAUCUUCCCAUAAACUGUAGCGGGGUUUCGGAAGCUAGUGGAACUUUGUAAAGGCCUCGUAGUGUUGCCCUGCCGCGCUUCCUAGGUAGAGGUGUAUGGGAUUCGCGACCCCUUGGCAGAUGGGUAACAUGACUUGUGGGUAAAGGGUACAACCUCUGCAGAGUGUAAAACUGGUAUACUAGCCGAGCUCACGGUCAUGAGCAGCUCAGGACUCUCUGAUGUUUAAAUUAUGGAACUUAAAUUCAAUUUUGUCAUUUGCAUUGCAUGGGUUUAUUAUUAAUUUUGUUCUAUUACUUUAUUUAAGGUUUGGUAUUUACUUACACUUAGUAAUUGCUAAUAAAAUUUUGACCAACUACUUAAAAGCAAUGCUCAGCUUUAACCAUUCUCUUUGAUAAGCCUUACACUCCAUGAGCUCCCACCUUUGGUGAGUUCAUGUCACAUUAUUCCCCACAACUUGUUGAGCGAUGAUCAUGUGUGAGCUCACCCUUGCUGUCUCACACCCCCCCACAGGAGAAGAGCAGGUGGUUCAGGAGGAGCCACAAGGCGAGGAGUAUGAUCUGAUCUAGGUGGCGUUUCCAGUCGACAUUGGCGCCGACGAUCCUUAGUUCGUUUUAUGUUUACACUUUUACUUUGUAAUAAGUCUUCCGCUAUGUAAUAAAUACUCUGAUGAUUUAUGACAUUUAUCUCUAUACACUCUGUUAUUAUAUGUGUUGUCUUCUUGGCGCAUGUAUGAGAUGCACCUGGCUUGUUCCUUAAAGCCAGGUGUGACAGAAGUGGUAUCAGAGGAAAUAUUGACUGUAGGACGAAACCUAGAUAGAAAUGGACAACCCUUACCUACUUAUCUUAUUCUGAUUCAUUCUACACUUACCUUACUCUGAUUCUUUCUAUACUUAUCUUGAUCCAGUCUCAUCUUCUACUGUUCCACUCUGAUCAUUCUUACCUUUUCUACUCCAAGACAAGACGGAUUUCACACCUUGGAAUCCCUACCCCUAUGACAUUCUUAAGAGUUAGGGAAGCCUAAGACAAAAUUAAAACUAUUUUCUCUAUUAAAAAAAUGUUGGUUGAUUGUGCUGAUGAUCAAUGCCUGAUUUGCUUCUUUGAUUGAUUGAAAUAGUAUAGACGGGCAUCUUAGCAUGUACCACCAUAAGGUAAUGAAUUAGCUUUAGUAGGUGACACACUUAGCUAAUAAAUCCCCCAAAGUAACAUGCUUCGUAAUCACUGCCUUGUCUACAAUCCUUUCUUUCGUACCCUAUGUUUCUAACCCAGAUGAGCUACCCCUAUAGUGUUAGAAGAGAACACUAUAGAUGUGAUCCUUGGUAUGUCGUGGUUAAGAAAGGUAAAGACAGUAUAUACACUGUGCUAAAGGAACCAUAGAACUCACCAGUUCCAAAGGAGAAAGAUUUGAAGUUGGAAUUGCAGUAACUACCGCCACCAAACUAGCGGCAUUCUUAGUCGAUGGGAAGUUUGUUGGUGACAACAUCCGUGUGGUUAAGGAUUUUCCGGAUGUCUUUCUAGAGGAGUUACCAGGGAUGCCACCAGAUACGGAAGUUGAGUUGGUCAUUAAUCCCUUAUCUAGGACUGCCCCUACUUUCAAACGGCCAUACAUGAUGUCUGAAGAAGAGUUAAAGGGACUGAAGAAGCAGUUAACGGAGUUACAAGAGGCUGGGUACAUUCGUUCGGAUUCUUCACCUUGGGGAGCACCGGUCUUGUUUGUACAGAAGAAGGAUGGAUCGCAGCGGAUGUGUGUGGAUUAUAGAUCUCUUAAUGAUGUUACGGUGAAGAACAAGUAUCUGUUGCCCCGUAUUGAAGAUUUAUUUGAUCAGAUGAGAGGUGCUAGAGUAUUUUCGAAGAUUGAUCUCCGAUCGGGUUACCAUCAGAUGAGGAUUAGACCAUCGGAUAUUCCUAAGACCGCAUUCUCGACUUGUUAUGGAUUAUAUGAGUUUACCGUUAUGUCGUUGGAUUAACCAAUGCACCAACUAUUUUAUGGAUCUGAAGAAUAAGGUGUUUAUGGAGUAUUUGGACAGAUUCGUCGUGGUGUUCAUCGAUGACAUUCUUAUCUAUUCUAAGAGUGAAAGUGAUCAUGAGAAACAUGUGAGAUUGGUGCUACAGAAGCUACGAGAUAAUCAACUCUACACUAAGUAUAGCAAAUGCGAGUUUUGGAUUGGUGAGGUGCCAUUCCUUGGACAUAUCAUUUCUAAUGGAGGAAUAUCAGUGGAUCCUGCUAAAGUCAAGGAGAUAGUGGUGUGGAGCAUACCCACUACAAGAUUCAGAGUUUCUCGGGACUUGUAGGAUAUUAUUGGAGAUUUAUUGAAGGAUUUUCUAAGAUUGCUAAGCCUAUGACCUCACUUCUGGAGAAGGGAAUAGAGUUUAAGUGAGAUGAGAAGUACCAAGAUAGCUUUGAUCGAUUAAAGAAGAGAUUGAUGUCACCACCAGUGUUGGUUAUGCCAGAUCUACAGAAAGGAUUUGACAUUUAUUGUGAUGCAUGUGGCCAAGGACUUGGAUGUGUGCUUAUGCAAGAUGGUCAUGUGAUCGCCUACGCGUCUCGUCAAUUGCGGAAACAUGAGUUAAACUACCCCACUCAUGACUCAGAACUGACAACCGUAGUGCAUGCGCUUAAGAUUUGGAGACAUUAUAUCAUGAGAAGUGCCAAGUAUACACGGAUCAUAAGACUUUGAAGAACAUAUUCAUACAGCAGGAUCUCAACCUUAGGCAACACCGUUGGUUGGAGCUUAUUAAGGAUUAUGAUUUGGAGAUUCACUAUUACCCGGGCAAGGCAAAUUUGGUUGCAGAUGCCUUGAGUCGCAAGGAGCAUGUUCAUUCAGCUAUUGUUGCCCAGCUACCUGAUGAGAUUGUUGAGGACUUCAGGAGACUUAACCUGGGGAUAGUUGCUCAUACUGAAGGAGUUACUAUUGAUGUGGAACCUACUUUGGAGCAAGAGAUCCGCAAAGGACAAAUUGGUGAUGCUAAAUAAAAGAGAUUAAGGAUCUGAUUACUGAAGGUCGAGUUCCGGAAUUUACGGAAGAUGAGCAAGGCACUGUAUGGUUCAAGGACAGAAUGUGUGUUCCUGAUAUUAAAAGCCUUCGAGAGACUAUUUUAAAGGGGGCCCAUGAUUCGGAUUAUUCUAUUCAUCCUGGUAGUACUAAGAUGUAUCAGGAUUUGAAGUGGAAGUAUUGGUGGUAUGGAUUGAAAAGAGAUGUGGCUGCACAUGUGGCUAUGUGCGAUGUAUGUCAAAGAGUUAGGGUCAAACACCAAAGGCCAGCAGGACUAUUGCACCCACUAAAGAUACCCGAGUGGAAGUGUGAAGAGAUUGGUAUGGAUUUCAUUACUGGAUUGCCUCACACCCAGAAAGGAUAUGAUGCUAUAUGGGUGAUUGUGGAUAGAUUGACUAAAGUGGCCCACUUUAUUCCUGUAAAGACUACCUAUAAAGGCUCUCAGCUGGCAGAGUAUAUAUGGCUCGGAUUGUGUCUCUACACGGUGUACCGAAGAAGAUCAUUUCGGAUAGAGGAUCACAGUUUACCUUCAGAUUUUGGAAGGGUUUUCAUGAGAAUAUGGAUACGAAGUUGAAUUUUAGUACGGCUUAUCACCCUCAGACUGAUGGACAGACUGAAAGGACUAAUCAAGUAUUGGAAGAUAUGUUGAGAGCAUGUGCCCUUCAGCAUGGAGGAAGUUGGGAUAAGAGUCUACCUUAUGCUGAGUUCUCAUAUAAUAAUGGUUACCAGGCCAGUCUGAAGAUGUCACCUUUUGAAGCUUUAUAUGGGAGGAAGUGCAGAACUCCUUUGUAUUGGGAUCAGACUGGUGAGAGACAAUUCUUUGGACCUGAACUUAUUCAAGAGGUAGAAGAAUAAGUCUGUAUAAUUCGGGAGAAAUUGAGGGUGGCUCAAACUAGGUAAAAGAGUUAUGCUGAUAAUAGAAGGAGGCCACUGGAAUUUGAAGAAGGAGAUUAUGUGUACCUCAAGGUGUCACCACUUCGUGGAAUGAGGAGAUUCAAAGUUAAGGGCAAAUUGUCCCCACGCUAUAUUGGACCAUUCUUGAUCUUUAGGCGAGUUGGGGAGAUGGCAUACCAACUUGAGUUACCGGAUAGUCUAUCAGAUGUGCAUAAUGUGUUCCACGUAUCUCAACUGAAGAAGUGUCUCCGUGUUCCCGAGGAACAGUUACCAAUGGAAGAGCUCAGUGUUCAAGGUGAUUUGACUUACACGGAGUACCCGAACAAGAUUUUGGAUACUUUGACUCGAGUUACAAGAAAUGAGGUGAUAAAGAUGUGUAAAGUACAAUGGAGUCACCACGGUGAAGAUGAAGCAACUUGGGAAAGAGAAGAAGAGCUUCGUAUAAAUUUUCCCCAUCUUUUUCCUAGUUCUUCUUAAAUCUCGAGGACGAGAUUAUUUUUAAGGGGGGUAGGAUUUGUGACACCCACUUUGUAAAUUGCUAGGAUAAUGCCAGUAGAGGAACAAUUUCUCCUUAUGUGAGUUUGACCUUUAUGUACCAUCACAUGUGAACACCAUAUUUAAAAACAAAUAACUGUUAAGAUAUAUGCUACCAAAACAUGCAUCAUGCUGGGUUUUCAUGUUGUGUGCAUUUUGUGACAACAUAAAAAAAAUGUGACAAGAAAUAUAUUAAAAAUCCCAAAAGUGGAAUUUAAGUUCUAAAGGAAAUUUAGAAUUUGAGAAAAGAGAAGAAAUACUAUACAAAUGAGAUAAAAUAGAUAUAUAAAAUAACUAGAUGUGGUUAUUUAAAUUUAACCUAAGUAUGAACUCCCCAAAUAUAAACUCAAAUUUUGAAUUUGAAUUUGAAAAGGAAAGAGAAAGAGGAAAGAAAAAUAGAAAUGAAAAAGGAAUUGAAAAAGGGAAAAUAAAAAUAAGGGAAAACCUCAUCUGGGCCAAAACCCAUUUGUCUCGGCCCACCAAACCCCGCAUGCGCCAGUCCACUACUGCCCUCAUCCACUGGUCGAUGGGGCCGCUCAGCAGACCAGCCAGCACUUCCUGUGUUUGCUUCACUGGCGCGUGGGCCCCUCCUAUCAAGUUUAUCCCCUUCCCCUGUCCGGUCCGGUGUUGAGCGAAUUCCUCCGUGGAUCUCUCCGGUCAUUCCGCCACCGCCUUGGUUGUUGGAUCGACCGAGUUUCUUGCCACCAAAUUCUGUGAAAUCCACUGCUCCAGUGAAUAACUACCGUGUCGGCUGCCUUCCCCAGUUCCCCUCCUCUCCAUUUCUCCCCUUCUGACCACCCAUGGCGCUCGGCACCCAGUGUCUCUGCUCACCCUUGGCGACCGAACAGGUGAACCACCCACUCCUUUCCGCCGUCCUCUAAGGGCCAUCCAGUUGCACCUACGCGUGAGCUCUCCCUUCAACACUCCAGUGCCCGAGCUCCCUCCCCUGUGGCCUCCGCUCGGUGCGCCCCUCUCUGCUCCUCUGCCGUGUCCCUGCUAGCGCCUGCCGUCAACCACCCGCCGUCCGAGCAGACACCGGGCGCCAGCAAACUACGUGGAGGCUAGCUAGAGGUGCCGGGGAUCCAGCCGCACGCAUCGCGUCCCUCGGCUGGCGUGAUUCACCACCGGAGGGCCGGUGAUUUCACGACAUUGGUGGUCGUCGCCGCGGGUCCGCGCUUCAACGUGAGCCCGUGCUCUCUCACGGCCAUCUGAUAAGAACCCGUUGCUGAGGAAUCCUGGUGAGCAGCAGGUUGAAGUAGCUGAGCAGGAGCUCAUUGAAGGCAAGUUGUGCCCUUGACCACUUUUUACCCAAUAAUGUUCUUUAAUAUCACUUAUCCAUGCAUAGGUUAAUUUUGAUGGGACCCAAUAGGUCACCCUAGAUUGUUUAUCUCAUUACCUUGUUUACCCCUGAAUCACUUGGGUAGUUUGCUAUUGCUUUAUAUGGUUUUGGGAUAAUCAUUUAUCACCUCUAUGUUCCAAUUCUUGUUGUUAUUCUGUUUAUGUUUAUGUUGUUAUCAUUAAUGUUAAUUGGAACAUAGAGCUUAACUUGAGAACCACGUGCCACCACAAGGGUUUAAUGGGACGCCCUUGGCUGAUUAACUAGGAAAGCUAGUGGAAGACUACCUUACCCGAAAGGGGCAAGGGCAGUAGGGGAGAGGUCAGUGCGGGGAGGUCCCUGGUUGAUUUUGCUGCGAUGGCGGUCAGCCAGGAACCCUGUACUGGAUCUUCCCAUAAACUGUAUCGGGUUUUCGGAAGCUAGUGGAACUUUGUAAAGGCCUCGUAGUGUUGCCCUGCCGCGCUUCCUAGGUAGAGGUGUAUGGGAUUCGCGACCCCUUGGCAGAUGGGUAACAUGACUUGUGGGUAAAGGGUACAACCUCUGCAGAGUGUAAAACUGGUAUACUAGCCGAGCUCACGGUCAUGAGCAGCUCAGGACUCUCUGAUGUUUAAAUUAUGGAACUUAAAUUCAAUUUUGUCAUUUGCAUUGCAUGGGUUUAUUAUUAAUUUUGUUCUAUUACUUUAUUUAAGGUUUGGUAUUUACUUACACUUAGUAAUUGCUAAUAAAAUUUUGACCAACUACUUAAAAGCAAUGCUCAGCUUUAACCAUUCUCUUUGAUAAGCCUUACACUCCAUGAGCUCCCACCUUUGGUGAGUUCAUGUCACAUUAUUCCCCACAACUUGUUGAGCGAUGAUCAUGUGUGAGCUCACCCUUGCUGUCUCACACCCCCCCACAGGAGAAGAGCAGGUGGUUCAGGAGGAGCCACAAGGCGAGGAGUAUGAUCUGAUCUAGGUGGCGUUUCCAGUCGACAUUGGCGCCGACGAUCCUUAGUUCGUUUUAUGUUUACACUUUUACUUUGUAAUAAGUCUUCCGCUAUGUAAUAAAUACUCUGAUGAUUUAUGACAUUUAUCUCUAUACACUCUGUUAUUAUAUGUGUUGUCUUCUUGGCGCAUGUAUGAGAUGCACCUGGCUUGUUCCUUAAAGCCGGGUGUGACAG